AGGUCAGGCGGGACUACCCGCUGAGUUUAAGCNUAUCAAU
rnacentral:rRNA from 1 species